rnacentral:misc_RNA from 1 species
GAUGAAGAACGCAGCGAAAUGCGAUAAGUAAUGUGAAUUGCAGAAUUCAGUGAAUCAUCGAAUCUUUGAACGCACAUUGCGCCCGCCAGUAUUCUGGCGAGCAUGCCUGUUCGAGCGUCAUUUCAACCAUCAAGCCCCAGGCUUGUGUUGGAGCCCUGCGGCUGCCGCAGCCUCCCAAAACCAGUGGCGGGCUCGCUAUCACACCGAGUGCAGUAGUUUACUCUUCGCUCAGGGCGUGUGGCGGGUGCUAGCCGUGAAACCCCCAACUUCUCAAGGUUGACCUCGGAUCAGGUAGGAAUACCCGCUGAACUUAAGCAUAUCAAUAAGCGGAGG